rnacentral:lncRNA from 1 species
UUGAGCUAUUAUAUAAAACAGUUCAGAGAGAAAUACACUUAUGAAUGCAAUAAAAACAUUCUAAAUUGGGCCCAGGAUUUAGCUCAGUGGUUCUGGCGCCUGCCUCGAAAGUGCAAGGUUCCGAGUUCAAUCUGUGGUACCAAAAAAAAAAAUUCUAAAUAAAAAGUUUUUCUUUUUUGCUCAUGAUGGUCUUGAUAAUUAUGUAAAUAUACAUGUAUAUUAGAUAAGUGCUACUCGAAGGAUGCUGGGAACUGGGCAACUUAGUGUCAUCUGCAGGAGCUGCCUUUGUACCUAUCUGUUAAGUUAGCUUCUCCUUGGAAUGCUGGUCAUACAAUGGAACAAAGAGAGAAAGUGACAUCACUCCACAAGCCCCUCUCUGAAGUAGCCAAGAGUCUGAGCUGCUGCUGAGCUAAGUGAUGCUGUGGACCGUAGGCUCCUCUGUGGGAUUCUGUGCUGUUGGACCCAUGUGCUCUUCCUGUGUAGCCUUGCUCACUACAGGAAUCAGAAGUCACUGAGUACCCCUCAGCAGUCUGCGACGGUAUUGGUCAUCACAUCUAUCAAGCCACUGAUCUUGUUACCCAGAAAAGAGAUAUUAUUCUCAUCACAGAGGUCUGGAAUGCCUUAAUGCUUUGUAAUGCUCUCUUUGGUGCAUCUGUCACACCUUCGAGUGUUUAGCAAAAGGAGUUAGAAUGCAGGCACAAAAUACCCAUCUGUCUGCUGAGGGACUCUGCCAACUGAGCAGCUGCAUUAGCAGACUGAAAACGGACCAGUCUCUUGGGCAGGUGAGAGGAAAGCACAGAGUUUUUCCAUGUGAGUUUCUGAUUCCUUUCCUGUUCUGA